rnacentral:rRNA from 1 species
GACGUAGGGCGCGAGCGUUGUCCGGAUUUAUUGGGCGUAAAGAGCUCGUAGGCGGCUUGUUGCGUCGACUGUGAAAACCCGACGGCUCAACCGUGUGGUCUGCAGUCGAUACGGGCAGGCUGGAGUUCGGUAGGGGAGACUGGAAUUCCUGGUGUAGCGGUGAAAUGCGCAGAUAUCAGGAGGAACACCGGUGGCGAAGGCGGGUCUCUAGUACGGUACUGACGCUGAGACGCGAAAGCGUGGGGAGCGAACAGG